rnacentral:lncRNA from 1 species
UAAAUUCCAGAUGAUAAAAUACCUAGUUUUUAAAAAUGAAAUUACUGGGAGCCAAGAUGGCCGAAUAGGAACAGCUCCGGUCUACAGCUCCCAGCGUGAGCGACGCAGAAGACGGGUGAUUUCUGCAUUUCCAUCUGAGAUGGAGUCUUACUCUGUCACCCAGGCUGGAGUCCAGUGGCAUGACCUCAGCUCAUUGCAACCUCUGCCCCACCCGGGUUCAAGCGAUUCUCCUGCCUCAGCCUCCUGAGUAGCUGGGAUUACAGGUAACUGCCACUGCACCUGUCUAAUUUUUGUAUUUUUAGUAGAGAUGGGGUUUCACCAUCUUGGCCAUGCUGGUCUUGAACUCCUGACCUCGUGAUCCACCUGCCUCGGCCUCCCAAAGUGCUGGAAUUACAGGCGUGAGCCACUGUGCCCGGCCUAAAUUAUAUUCUUAAAACAAUAAAAUAAAACUUAAAAAAAAAUUUAUUUUUAUUAUUUUUUUUAAGAUGCAGUGUCACUCUUGUCUCCCGGGCUGGGGUGCAAUGGCACAACCUUGGCUCACUGAAACCUCCGCCUCCUGAGUUCAAACAAUUCUCCUG